GACGAACGCUGGCGGCGUGCCUAAUACAUGCAAGUUGAGCGCUGAAGGUUGGUACUUGUACCGACUGGAUGAGCAGCGAACGGGUGAGUAACGCGUGGGGAAUCUGCCUUUGAGCGGGGGACAACAUUUGGAAACGAAUGCUAAUACCGCAUAAAAACUUUAAACACAAGUUUUAAGUUUGAAAGAUGCAAUUGCAUCACUCAAAGAUGAUCCCGCGUUGUAUUAGCUAGUUGGUGAGGUAAAGGCUCACCAAGGCGAUGAUACAUAGCCGACCUGAGAGGGUGAUCGGCCACAUUGGGACUGAGACACGGCCCAAACUCCUACGGUAGGCAGCAGUAGGGAAUCUUCGGCAAUAGACGAAAGUCUUACCGAGCAACGCCGCGUGAGUGAAGAAGGUUUUCGGAUCGUAAAACUCUGUUGGUAGAGAAGAACGUUGGUGAGAGUGGAAAGCUCAUCAAGUGACGGGAACGACCCAGAAAGGGACGGCUAACUACGU
rnacentral:rRNA from 1 species